rnacentral:misc_RNA from 1 species
AUUCAAGCUGCGCCAAGCUUUAGUUGCAUGUUUCCUGAAAUAUUCAGUGGCAGGACCGACAUUCCCUGCCUCAUCCCAUGUGCAAUAGAUCAGGACCCAUACUUUCGAAUGACUAGAGACGUUGCUCCACGGAUGGGUUGCUUAAAACCUGCUUUGCUCCACUCUACAUUCUUUCCGGCUUUACAAGGGGCACAGACGAAGAUGAGCGCUAGUGAUCCUAAUUCUUCAAUAUUUGUAACUGAUACGGACAAGCAAAUCAAGGAAAAGAUCAAUAAAUAUGCAUUUUCCGGAGGUGGUGCCACUGUAGAAGAGCAUAAAGCAACGGGAGGAAACUGUGAGAUAGAUGUGUCAUAUCAAUAUCUGACGUUCUUCAUGGAAGAUGAUAAACGACUUGAAGAAAUUCGAAAAACAUAUGCUAGCGGUGAAUUAAUGACAGGAUCGUUGAAAAUGGAACUGAUAGAAAUUCUACAAAAACUGGUCGGCGAACAUCGUAAAAGGCGCGCAGAGGUUACCGAUGACAUGGUCAGACAGUUCAUGAAGCCAAGAAAAUUGAAAUAUGAUUAUCCUCCCGUGGAAAGCAAGAAGUGACAUUUCGUGUUUCUUUAAAUCACGCACCCAAGAAUUACUGGAUAAUUGAACUUUUGCAAAAAAAAUUGGAAAAGUGGUUUUGUAUUAACUUUAAAAAUAUCUUUUGGAUUGUUUGUGUAAAAGCUUUUGCAUGCUUAUCUAUAUUUUACCGCUCUGAUUUUAAUUAAUAUGUGCUGUUACAGUGUAGUUGGAACAAUAAAUUUCAUAAAUUUC